GACGAACGCUGGCGGCGUGCCUAAUACAUGCAAGUAGGACGCACAGUUUAUACCGUAGCUUGCUACACCAUAGACUGUGAGUUGCGAACGGGUGAGUAACGCGUAGGUAACCUGCCUAUUAGAGGGGGAUAACUAUUGGAAACGAUAGCUAAUACCGCAUAACAGUAUGUAACACAUGUUAGAUGCUUGAAAGAUGCAAUUGCAUCGCUAGUAGAUGGACCUGCGUUGUAUUAGCUAGUAGGUAGGGUAAUGGCCUACCUAGGCGACGAUACAUAGCCGACCUGAGAGGGUGAUCGGCCACACUGGGACUGAGACACGGCCCAGACUCCUACGGGAGGCAGCAGUAGGGAAUCUUCGGCAAUGGGGGGAACCCUGACCGAGCAACGCCGCGUGAGUGAAGAAGGUUUUCGGAUCGUAAAGCUCUGUUGUUAAGGAAGAACGAGUGUGAGAAUGGAAAGUUCAUACUG
rnacentral:rRNA from 1 species